ensembl:lncRNA
GUUUAUUAUGAGGUGUGGUCCUGUCUACAGGAGUCUGUUUAUUAUUAGGUGUUGUCCUGUCUACAGAGAUCUGUUUAUAUGAGGUGUGGUCUGUCUACAGAGAUCUGUUUAUUAUGAGGUGUGGUCCUGUCUACAGAGACCUGUUUAUUAUGAGGUGUGGUCCUGUCUACAGAGAUCUGUUUAUUAUGAGGUGUGGUCCUGUCUAUAGAGAUCUGUUUAUUAUGAGGUGUGGUCCUGUCUAUAGAGAUCGGUUUAUUAUGAGGUUGGUCCUGUCUACAGAGAUCUGUUUAUUAUGAGGUGUGGUCCUGUCUACGAGAUCUGUUUAUUAUGAGGUGUGGUCCUGUCUAAGAGAUCUGUUUAUUAUGAGGUGUGGUCCUGUCUACAGAGAUCUGUUUAUUAUGAGGUGGUUGGUCCUGCCUACAGAGAUCUGUUUAUUAUGAGGUGGUGUUCCUGUCUAUAGAGAUCUGUUUAUUAUGAGGUGUGGUCCUGUCUACAGAGAUCUGUUUAUUAUGAGGUGUGGUCCUGUCUAUAGAGACCUGUUUAUUAUUUAGGUGUUGUCCUGUCUACAGAGACCUGGCUGAUUUUAAAUGAUAUAAAUGUUAUUUGGAAUCUAAAUAAUGAAUGAUGAUAGUUCUAGUUAUUUUAUUUUGAAGAAAAAAUGAUCGACAUUCAUAUUUUUAUUUCAUCUUUUGAUUUAAAAAAAACAACAACUUUGUUGUUGAGUAAGUGUUGUAACUUCUUUUUCACUUUUUUAUUUAUUUUUUC